rnacentral:lncRNA from 13 species
CAAGCCUAUAAUCCCAGCACUUUGGGAGGCCGAGGCAGGUGGAUCACGAGGUCAAGAGAUCGAGACCAUCCUGGUCAACAUGGUGAAACCCCGUCUCUACUAAAAAUGCAAACAAAAUUAGCUGGGCAUGGUGGCAUGUGCCUGUAAUCCCAGCUACUCAGGAGGCUGAGGCAGGAGAAUUGCCUGAAUCCAGGAGGCGGAGGUUGUGGUGAGCCGAGGUUGCACCAUUGCACUCCAGCCUGGAUAACAAGAGCGAAACUCCAUCUCAGAAAAAAAAAAAAUAGGUAAAGUGUUUAGAAUAGUGCCUAUUACUGAGUAGGUGCCAUAGAAAGAUUUACAAUCAUUAUUUUUAUUGUUAGGUAUCUAUAUAUUUAUAUGUGUAUUACAGUUUUCUAAAAGUACUUCUUUUCCUCUCCACAAUGAUUACAUCUCUUCUUUCUAACUCCAGGGUUACAAGCUGGAAAAGGGGAGAAAUGAAUCAUGCUACGAUUCCCAGAGAUGCCCUUUGUGAGAAGCAUGGGUUGUUUUUCUAACCCCUGCAUCAAAGACAGAAGAGCAAGUCAAGCUAUGCGCUUUAUGGAGAGAGAGCAGUUCCAGGGUUCUGCCUUAAGCAGGCCUGAGGUCUCAGUUCCUGUUCAUAGGAGACAGAUGAAUUUUUAUCUGCACUCACUAUGCUUAAGAUUUACGAGAACACAAGCACGACUAGACAAACUCUCCUGUGAAAUUCACCUGAAUGUGAUAAAGAACUCUGCCGCUCAGUGGUAGGGCUCAAAAAAACAGUACCACACAAUGGAGGCCUCAGAAGCAAACAUCUUUCUGUGACUUUCUCCUACCCUUCUGCCUCUGACCCCUCAUUCUUCCCUGAGUCUACCCAUAGAAACUAGAAUCUCUCUUCCCCAAGGCAGGACAUGGAAACCAGAACUCUUUUUCCCCAAAGCCAGCCAUCAAGGCUAAAAAUAGUAUUAUAACUUCCCUCUACCUUUCUGUGUAAAAACUGGCCAUGAAGAAAUUAUCUAACCCAUAUUGUUUGAUUAUUGGUCAUAAAACCCUAAUUCCAGAGGACCCUACCCCAUACCGAGAAGGAGGAACUACUGUGCAGAGAGUCUAAGAAGAAUCUAGACAGACAGCCCUCACUGGAUUUCUCCACUUCGCCUAUUAGCAUUCAAUCAUAUGCCUUUUGUCCAGUCAUAUUUCUACAGGGCUGUCCAUACUUUGUUGAACCUUAGCACAAAAUGGAAAGUUUCCCCUGUGUCUUUGGGUCUUCAUUCUGAAGGAUCCCAUGUUAUAUAAAACAAUGAUCAAAUAAAUACGCACGCCUUUCCUCCUAU